rnacentral:rRNA from 1 species
AUUGAACGCUGGCGGCAGGCCUAACACAUGCAAGUCGAACGAGUGGCGGAAGGGUGAGUUAUGUCUGGGAAACUGCGUGAUGGAGGGGGAUAACUACUGGAAACGGUUGCUAAUACCGCAUACCAUAGGCUGUGCCCAGAUGGGAGUAGCUAGUAGGAGGGGCAAAGGCUCACCUAGGCGACGAUCCCUAUCUGGUCUGAGAGGAUGACCACCCCCACUGGAACUUAGACACGGUCCAUACUCCUCCGUCAGGCAGCAGUGGGGAAUAUUGGACAAUGGGCGCAAUCCUGAUGCAGCCAUGCCGCGUGUAUGAAGAAGGCCUUCGGGUUGUAAAGUUCUUUCAGCGGGGAGGCGUUACCCGCAGAAGAAGCACCGGCUAACUCCGUGCCAGCAGCCGCGGUAAUAC